CUUACUUCACUGUGAUGUUUGCUUUGAUAUUUUUUCUUCCCAAUUUUCAUGCUAUUGCUCUCUUCAAAUCUUUGAGAUUCAGCCUAACUUUGAUGAAUAUAGAAGCGUAUGUUUAGGGAGGGUGAGUGCUAGCAUCUUUAACAAUGGAGAGAGGUAUUUUGGCGAGCAGCUCAGAGGGAGUUUAUACAACAAUCACUGGGUUAAUCAGUUGUUAAGAAGUUUGAAACCGGAGAAGGAGGAGAGCAAGAUCAAACCCGAG